AGGACGAACGCUGGCGGCGUGCUUAACACAUGCAAGUCGAGCGGAAAGGCCCUUCGGGGUACUCGAGCGGCGAACGGGUGAGUAACACGUGAGUAACCUGCCCCUAGCUCUGGGAUAGCUCCGGGAAACCGGGAUUAAUACCAGAUACGACCACUUUAGACAUCUGUCGUGGUGGAAAGGAUUCCGGCUAGGGAUGGGCUCGCGGCCUAUCAGCUUGUUGGUGGGGUAACGGCCUACCAAGGCGACGACGGGUAGCCGGCCUGAGAGGGCGACCGGCCACACUGGGACUGAGACACGGCCCAGACUCCUACGGGAGGCAGCAGUGGGGAAUAUUGCGCAAUGGGCGAAAGCCUGACGCAGCGACGCCGCGUGGGGGAUGAAGGCCUUCGGGUUGUAAACCCCUUUCAGCAGGGACGAAGCGAAAGUGACGGUACCUGCAGAAGAAGCGCCGGCUAACUACGCGCCAGCAACCGC
rnacentral:rRNA from 1 species